rnacentral:rRNA from 1 species
GAUGAACGCUGGCGGCGUGCCUAAUACAUGCAAGUCGAGCGAACAGACGAGGAGCUUGCUCCUCUGAUGUUAGCGGCGGACGGGUGAGUAACACGUGGAUAACCUACCUAUAAGACUGGGGUAACUUCGGGAAACCGGAGCUAAUACCGGAUAACAUGUUGAACCGCAUGGUUCAACAGUGAAAGACGGUCUUGCUGUCACUUAUAGAUGGAUCCGCGCCGCAUUAGCUAGUUGGUAAGGUAACAGCUUACCAAGGCAACGAUGCGUAGCCGACCUGAGAGGGUGAUCGGCCACACUGGAACUGAGACACGGUCCAGACUCCUACGGGAGGCAGCAGUAGGGAAUCUUCCGCAAUGGGCGAAAGCCUGACGGAGCAACGCCGCGUGAGUGAAGAAGGUCUUCGGAUCGUAAAACUCUGUUAUUAGGGAAGAACAAAUGUGUAAGUAACUAUGCACGUCUUGACGGUACCUAAUCAGAAAGCCACGGCUAACUACGUG